GCCUCCUACCAGUAUAGUGGUUAAUGAUGCUGAAUGCGUUGUCAAAAGGCCUGGGUUCAAAUCCCAGAGAAGGCA